rnacentral:rRNA from 1 species
GAUGAACGCUAGCUACAGGCUUAACACAUGCAAGUCGAGGGACCGGCGUACUGGUGAGUAACGCGUAUCCUACCUUCCCAUUACUGUGGGAUAACCUGCCGAAAGGCAGACUAAUACUGCAUAGUAAUGGAUGGGGAUGCGUCUGAUUAGCUUGUUGGCGGGGUAACGGCCAACCAAGGCGACGAUCAGUAGGGGUUCUGACAGGAAGCCCCCCGACAUUGGAACUGAGACACGGUCCAAAAUCCUACGGGAGGCAGCAGUGGGGUAUAUUGGUCAAUGAACGGAAGUCCGAACCAGCCAAGUAGCGUGCAGGAUGAUGGCCUAUGGGUUGUAAACUGCUUUUGUAUGGGGAUAGGUACCAUAUGAAUAAGGACCGGCUAAUUCCGUGCCAGCAGCCGCGGUAAUUC